rnacentral:rRNA from 1 species
CUUCCGUAGGUGAACCUGCGGAAGGAUCAUUACAGUAUUCUUUUGCCAGCGCUUAACUGCGCGGCGAAAAACCUUACACACAGUGUCUUUUUGAUACAGAACUCUUGCUUUGGUUUGGCCUAGAGAUAGGUUGGGCCAGAGGUUUAACAAAACACAAUUUAAUUAUUUUUACAGUUAGUCAAAUUUUGAAUUAAUCUUCAAAACUUUCAACAACGGAUCUCUUGGUUCUCGCAUCGAUGAAGAACGCAGCGAAAUGCGAUAAGUAAUAUGAAUUGCAGAUUUUCGUGAAUCAUCGAAUCUUUGAACGCACAUUGCGCCCUCUGGUAUUCCAGAGGGCAUGCCUGUUUGAGCGUCAUUUCUCUCUCAAACCCCCGGGUUUGGUAUUGAGUGAUACUCUUAGUCGGACUAGGCGUUUGCUUGAAAAGUAUUGGCAUGGGUAGUACUAGAUAGUGCUGUCGACCUCUCAAUGUAUUAGGUUUAUCCAACUCGUUGAAUGGUGUGGCGGGAUUUUUCUCUAUUGUUGGCCCGCCCUUACAACAACCAAACAAGUUGCCGC